GAAAUUGAAGCUUAGAGAGCUCAAGUAACAGAGUUGGCAAACGCUCCCCAUAACAGGCAAGGCCCAGAAGCUUUUUUCCAGAGUGACUUAGUUGCUCGGUUGGAAGCCCAGCAGCAAAAGGUUUUGUGGGAACAUCAGCCUGGUGGGAGAGAAGUAGGCGAGUGGAAGAAGUGGGGACACAGCCAAAUCUUGCAAAUCAUGGAGCCGCGUGAAGGGUCCCCAGGCAGCUUCCUGGGCUAUCGUCUCUUGCCCUCCAGAGAAGAGCCAGGUCCAAAAGGAGGAGAGCAGGCGCUUUCUGGGAAGCUGACCAUGCUCCAUCCCCACCCCAACUAGAGAAAGUGCAGACCAUGGCCCCCUCUCCACCUUAGAGCCCCCAGCCAGGACACGACCUGAUGUUGGAGCAAGACAGAACACUGAAUCAGAGAGGUUCUGGCAGUGGGCGUGCAGGUCUACUUGUCCUGCAGACACCAAGACAAGCCUUGCAUGCACUGAACUAGGAGCUGAGGAUACAGCAAAGAAGUCAGUCCCUGGUCUGAAGGCCUUUUCUUUCCAGUGGGAUGAGGAGACAUAUAAACUUAGCGAACCUAAGACAUAUCAGGGCAAGAGCUGGCUGAAUUCUUUAUGCCAGGAACAGUUGGACUUAACACGGCCAGUUUGCACAGUCAGAAGCAGCCAAGUAGGAGGUUCUGUCAUCUUUACUAUUUUUACAUAUAUUACUUCAAUAGUUUACCAUUUCUCCUGCUCUGGAACUGUACAGGUAAGCAGUCAAAUAAUUUAAAGAUCACAGUUUACUUGUAAAGAUUGCUUCGUUUGUUUUUAAUAGCAUGUGUUAUAUACUCAUAUUUUUC
ensembl:lncRNA